rnacentral:rRNA from 1 species
AAAAGAAGUAGCUAGCUUAACCUUCGGGGGGGCGGUUACCACUUUGUGGAUCAUGACUGGGGUGAAGUCGUAACAAGGUAGCCCUAGGGGAACCUGGGGCUGGAUCACCUCCUUA